CCUACGGGUGGCAGCAGUGGGGAAUAUUGCACAAUGGGGGAAACCCUGAUGCAGCGACGCCGCGUGAGUGAAGAAGUAUUUCGGUAUGUAAAGCUCUAUCAGCAGGGAAGAAAUAAAAUCCUUCGGACUUUGGACGGUACCUGACUAAGAACCACCGGCUAACUACGUGCCAGCAUCCGCGGUAAUACUUAGGGGGCAAGCGUUAUCAGGAUUUACUGGGUGGAAAGGGGGCGUAGACGGGAGUGGAAUCCUGGAGUGAAAUACCCGGGCUUAACCAUGGAACUGCUUUGGAAACUGUGCAGCUGGAGUGUAGGAGAGGUAAGCGGAAUUCCGAGUGUAGCGGUGAAAUGCGGAGAUAUUAGGAGGAACACCAGUGGCGAAGGCGGCUUAGUGGACUGUAACUGACGUUGAGGAUCGAAAGCGUGGGGAGCAAACAGGAUUAGAUACCCGUGUAGUC
rnacentral:rRNA from 1 species